UGAGGAACAUGACCUUCGGCGGGGGAUAGCCGGCCCAACGGCCGGGUAAUACCGCGUACGACCACAUGGGGACAUCCCUGAGUGGUGAAAGCAGCAAUGCGCCGAUGGAGUGCCUCGCGGCCUAUCAGCUAGUUGGUGAGGUAACGGCUCACCAAGGCGACGACGGGUAGCUGGUCUGAGAGGAUGGCCAGCCACAUUGGGACUGAGACACGGCCCAGACCUCUACGGGGAGG
rnacentral:rRNA from 1 species